rnacentral:rRNA from 1 species
GACGAACGCUGGCGGCGUGCUUAACACAUGCAAGUCGAACGGAAAGGCCCCCAUCUUGGUGGGGGUGCUCGAGUGGCGAACGGGUGAGUAACACGUGGGUGAUCUGCCCUGUACUUCGGGAUAAGCUUGGGAAACUGGGUCUAAUACCGGAUAGGACCAUGGUUUAGUGUCUCAUGGUGGAAAGAUUAUUGUUUUGGUGCAGGAUGAGCUCGCGGCCUAUCAGCUUGUUGGUGGGGUAAUGGCCUACCAAGGCGUCGACGGGUAGCCGGCCUGAGAGGGUGGACGGCCACAUUGGGACUGAGAGACGGCCCAGACACCUACGGGAGGCAGCAGUGGGGAAUAUUGCACAAUGGGAGCAAGCCGGAGGCAGCGACGCCGCGUGGGGGAUGACGGCCGUCGGGUUGUAAACUCCUUUCGUUAGGGACGAAGCCGCACUUUUUUUGGGUGUGGUGACGGUACCUUUGUUAAGAAGCACCGGCUAACUACGUG